GGAGGCAGCAGUGGGGAAUUUUCCGCAAUGGGCGAAAGCCUGACGGAGCAAUACCGCGUGAGGGACGAAGGUCUGUGGAUUGUAAACCUCUUUUGUUAGGGAAGAUAAUGACGGUACCUAACGAAUAAGCAUCGGCUAACUCCGUGCCAGCAGCCGCGGUAAGACGGAGGAUGCAAGCGUUAUCCGGAAUUAUUGGGCGUAAAGCGUACGUAGGCUGUUAGAUAAGUCUGUUGUCAAAGCGCGAGGCUCAACCUUGUAAAGGCAAUGGAAACUGUUUGACUAGAGAGAGAUAGGGGCAGGAGGAAUUCCAGGUGUAGCGGUGAAAUGCGUAGAUAUCUGGAAGAACACCAGUGGCGAAACGUCCCUGCUGGAUCUCCACUGACGCUGAAGUACGAAAGCUAGGGGAGCGAAUGGGAUUAGAUGCCCCAGUAGUCCUACCCGUAAACGAUGGGUACUAGGUGGUGGUCGUAUCNACC
rnacentral:rRNA from 1 species